rnacentral:rRNA from 1 species
UACGAAGGGGGCUAGCGUUGUUCGGAUUUACUGGGCGUAAAGCGCGUGUAGGCGGGCCGUUAAGUUGGGGGUGAAAGCCCGAGGCUCAACCUCGGAACUGCCUUCAAAACUGGCGGCCUGGAGCAAGAUAGAGGCGAGUGGAAUUCCGAGUGUAGAGGUGAAAUUCGUAGAUAUUCGGAGGAACACCGGUGGCGAAGGCGACUCGCUGGAUCUUUGCUGACGCUGAGACGCGAAAGCGUGGGGAGCAAACAGG